CUAUGACUUGAAAAAAAGUCAUGGCGGAAGGAG
rnacentral:ncRNA from 1 species